CUUAAAAGAGUGCGUCAGGUAAAAUAUUCUCUUUUUGAAGUUCCUUUUUCCUUGCAUGCCUGAGUUGAAAAACCGUACGAACCGAGAUUAUUCAAACACUUUGAGCACUGCACAGAAUGUCAAGGGAAAAUUUGUCAGCGAGAACAAGCGACGAGUUUGUUCCACUUUAACUACUGAGGGAUGUUUUACCCAGCAGAGACAGUGCAUCAACGAAUUUGCCAUGCUGGUCUACAAAUUGUUCGAAGCAUUUCCAUUACUGAAUGGCUUCAGAUCGGCAGAAGAAAUGUGAGAAAAUCUCCUGUUUAAAAUUACAUGGACAGACGAACUCCGCCGGCGACUUCCAUGACAUGAAUUUACCGCUGGAUUGUAUGAAGGUUUCUGCAUCUGUUGCAUUUUUAAUUGCCUUGCCGUUCAAGUGGAAUACCCCCACUGCUGGGCUUCACCCCACAGCCUCAGCACCUCCCUUCUGUGGGAACAAGGGGCACAGCACCGGGCCUACGGGAGCAGUAUGGAAAAUGCAAAGCUUUGCAGGGACUUCACUGAGCAAUACGGCACGCACAGUGCUGAGCGCGCUCGCAAUUUACUGCCUGAGGAGGAGAAUCUACACAGAGAAUCCACACAGAGAAAAGGGGAAGGUCACGAAAAUCGCGUUUUUAUGUAGUUUGGAAGUCCCACGCACCUUUCGUUGCUUGAACUUGUCAAUGUUCACCAUAUGGAAAUUAUUAACUUAAUGCCGGUGUUCUAAAUACUGCCCAGGAAUGCUUUUUAGAAUGGGAUUUUUAUUCUUUGCAUCAAGAAAUGCCAAACUACCACACAAACCGUGACUGGGGAACCUGUGGAACUGGCCCACGUCCCACCAGAGCGAGGAGCUCCUCAUUGGCACAGCUGUGUGUGUCCGGAGUAACCUAGCGCAGAGCGCGGUGGCACCGACAAGGCGCAUAGGGGAGAUAGAAUCGUAGCAUCAUACAAUUGCUCCGGUUGGAAAAGACCCUAAAGAUCAUCGAGUCCAACCGCAACCUGACCAUCCUACCCUUACAAUCCUCCGCUAAAUCACGGCCCUGAGCAAACUGAGCAUUGAGAUGCUGCUGUGUGGAGAUCAGAAGGC
ensembl:lncRNA